CAGUCGCCGCGGUAAAACGUAGGUGGCAAGCGUUGUCCGGAAUUAUUGGGCGUAAAGGGCUCGCAGGCGGUUUCUUAAGUCUGAUGUGAAAGCCCCCGGCUCAGCCGGGGAGGGUCAUUGGAAACUGGGAAACUUGAGUGCAGAAGAGGAGAGUGGAAUUCCACGUGUAGCGGUGAAAUGCGUAGAGAUGUGGAGGAACACCAGUGGCGAAGGCGACUCUCUGGUCUGUAACUGACGCUGAGGAGCGAAAGCGUGGGGAGCGAACAGGAUUAGAUACCCGCGUAGUCCCUGUCUCUUAUAC
rnacentral:rRNA from 1 species